ACAGAGGAAGUUUUCGGAUGGAAUCGGUAUAACUUAGUGGCGGACGGGUGAGUAACGCGUGGGAAACCUGCCCUGUACCGGGGGAUAACGCACCGAAAGGUGCACUAAUACCGCAUAAGACCACGUUUCUGACAUGGGAAUGAGGUCAAAGGAGCAAUUCGGUGGAAGAUGGGCUCGCGUCUGAUUAGCUAGUUGGUGAGGUAACGGCCCACCAAGGCGACGAUCAGUAGCCGACCUGAGAGGGUGAUCGGCCACAUUGGAACUGAGACACGGUCCAAACUCC
rnacentral:rRNA from 1 species